rnacentral:tRNA from 1 species
GCUCCAGUGGCGCAACCGGUUAGCGCGCGGUACUUAUACGACGGUAGCUGUGGGCGAUGCCGAGGUUGUGAGUUCGAACCUCACCUGGAGCA